AUAAACAUGAAUGUUUCCAGGAGUCCCUCGGGAAGUCAGCAUGACGGUGAAGCAUUGCCGCGGACUUGGUACGUCUGUGGGAGGAAGCCAAGUCAGGAUCUUCCCAUGUCGCCAUCUUGAACCCUCAACAGCUGUCCUUCCCCA